CUAGCUUCAGCGAUGGAUCGGUUGAUUCGCGUAUCGAUGAAAAACGCAGCUAGCUGCGUUAUUUACCACGAAUUGCAGACGCUUAGAGUGGUGAAAUUUUGAACGCAUAGCGCCGUUGGGUUUCCCCUUCGGCACGUCUGGUUCAGGGUUGUA
rnacentral:rRNA from 1 species